AGGGUUUGAUCAUGGCUCAGAACGUACGCUGGCGGCACGCCUAACACAUGCAAGUCGAACGAAGUAGCAAUACUUAGUGGCAGACGGGUGAGGAACAUGUGGGUAUCUGCCCUUUGGCCUGGAAUAACACGAGGAAACUUGUGCUAAUACCGGAUAAGUCUUUACGGAGAAAGCUUUAUGCACCAUUGGAUGAGCCCGCACUUGAUUAGUUUGUUGGUGGGGUAAUGGCCUACCAAGACUUUGAUCAAUAGCUGAUUUGAGAGGAUGAUCAGCCACAUUGGGACUGAGACACGGCCCAAACUCCUACGGGAGGCAGCAGUGGGGAAUCUUGCACAAUGGAGGAAACUCUGAUGCAGCGAUGCCGCGUGAGUGAAGAAGGCCUUUGGGUUGUAAAGCUCUUUCGUCGGGGAAGAAAAUGACUGUACCCGAAUAAGAAGGUCCGGCUAACUUCGUGCCAGCAGCCGCGGUAAUACGAAGGGACCUAGCGUAGUUCGGAAUUACUGGGCUUAAAGAGUUCGUAGGUGGUUGAAAAAGUUGGUGGUGAAAUCCCAGAGCUUAACUCUGGAACUGCCAUCAAAACUUUUCAGCUAGAGUUUGAUAGAGGAAAGCAGAAUUUCUAGUGUAGAGGUGAAAUUCGUAGAUAUUAGAAAGAAUACCAAUUGCGAAGGCAGCUUUCUGGAUCAUUACUGACGCUGAGGAACGAAAGCAUGGGUAGCGAAGAGGAUUAGAUACCCUCGUAGUCCAUGCCGUAAACGAUGUGUGUUAGACGUUGGAAAUUUAUUUUCAGUGUCGCAGCGAAAGCGAUAAACACACCGCCUGGGGAGUACGACCGCAAGGUUAAAACUCAAAUGAAUUGACGGGGACCCGCACAAGUAGUGGAGCAUGUGGUUUAAUUCGAAGAUACGCGCAGAACCUUACCAACACUUGACAUGUUCGUCGCGACUUUAAGAGAUUAAAGUUUUCGGUUCGGCCGGACGAAACACAGGUGCUGCAUGGCUGUCGUCAGCUCGUGUCGUGAGAUGUUGGGUUAAGUCCCGCAACGAGCGCAACCCUCACUUUUAGUUGCCAUCAUUUAGUUGGGCACUCUGAAAGAACUGCCAGUGAUAAGCUGGAGGAAGGUGGGGAUGACGUCAAGUCCUCAUGGCCCUUACGUGUUGGGCUACACACGUGCUACAAUGGUAUCUACAACAGGAAGCGAAACAGCGAUGUUAAGCAAAUCCUUAAAAGAUACCUCAGUUCGGAUUGCACUCUGCAACUCGAGUGCAUGAAGCUGGAAUUACUAGUAAUCGUGGAUCAGCGUGCCACGGUGAAUGCGUUCCCGGGUCUUGUACACACCGCCCGUCACACCAUGGGAGUUGGUUCUACCUUAAGGCAAGGCAUAAAACCCUUGACCACGGUAUAGUCAGCGACUGGGGUGAAGUCAUAACAAGGUAACCGUA
rnacentral:rRNA from 1 species